CACCUGCACCCAGGUGAUUAAAAGCUUUAUUGCUCACACAAAGCCUGUUUGGUGGUCUCUUCGCACAGAAGUGCAUGAAAUUUGGUGCUGUGACUGGGAUCGGGGGACCUCCCUUGGGAGAUCAAUCCUCUGUCCUCCUGCUCUUUGCUCCAUGAGAAAGGUCCACCUACGACCUCAGGUCCUCAGACCGACCAGCCCAAGAAACAUCUCAUCAAUUUCAAAUCCCCUCCUCACACCUGGUCCUGCUUACAGUUUCGUGCUGUGACUAGCCCUCCCCCACCUGCCCAGCAAUUAGCGGCUGAAGACCGACGCUGCCGGAUCGUCUCGGAAGCCCCGAGCUACAUCUCAUUGCCUCCCUUCUUCCCAAUCCAAAGCCUCCUUCAUGUCCUCCUCUUGUAUUCCCCAACCUUAACCCACAAGUAUAAGAUACCUCUACUCCCUCCUUGGCGACCGAUCAUGCACCCCUUACCAUCUCAUUAAAACCUAAUCAGCCUUAUCCCGCUCAAUGCCAAUAUCCCAUCCCACAGCAUGCUUUGAAAGGAUUAAAGCCUGUUAUCACUGGCUUGCUACAGCAUGGCCUUUUAAAGCCCAUAAACUCUCCUUACAAUUCCCCCAUUUUACCUCCCUCCACAAUCUGUUAUUCUGUUCUGGAUCUCAAACAUGCUUGCUUUACUAUUGCUUUGCACCCUUCAUCUCACCCUUUCUUCGCCCCUGCCAAUUGUGUCCAAUUAAUCUGUCAAACCCCAACCCCUUCUACAAAACAACAACUCCUUUCCUUCCUGGGCAUAGUUAGAUACUUUCACCUUUAGAUACCUGGGUGCAAGGCUGUGCAGUCAGAAUUCUUACACAAGGACCAGGAUCACGUCCUGUAGCCUUUUUGUCCAAACAACUUGACCUUCCUGUUUUAAGCCUUUGUUGAGUCUCCCACAAUUACCAUUGUUCCUGGCCUGGACUUCAAUCCGGCCUCCCACAUUAUUCCUGAUACCACACCUGACCCUCAUGACUGUAUCUCUCUGAUCCACCUGACGUUCACCCCAUUUCCCCACAUUUCCUUCUUCCCUGUUUCUCACCCUGAUCACACUUAGUUUAUUGACGGCAGUUCCACCAGGCCUAAUCAAACAGACUAAAGGUCUUUUAAAAACACACUUCACCAAGCUCAGCCACCAACUUAAAAAAGAAUAGACAAUACUUUUACCACUUUCCCUUUCAGAAGUCAGGCCUGUCCUCAGAAUGCUACAAAGUACAGCUCAUUUAAGCUCCUGUGCACCCAGGUGAUUAAAAGCUUUAUUGCUCACACAAAGCCUGUUUGGUGGUCUCUUCACAUGGACGUGUGUGAAACCAGCUACUUGGGAAGUGGAGGCAGGAGGAUCGCUUGUGUCUAGGAGGUCAAAGCUGCACUGAGUUAUGACGGCAUCACUGCACUCCAGCCUAGGUGACUCAGUGAAACCCAGUUCAAAAAAUUAUUUUUUUAAAAAAAGAGUGUAGAAAGAGUUCAACAACAAAGGAGUAGCACAGGAUAUUUGGGUAUGCAGGGGGUAAGACAGUGAUGGAACUGUUCUAUUUCUUGAUUGUGAUGAUGGUUAUAUUAGUUUGUACAUUUGUUAAGACUCAUAGAACUAUAUAUCAUUUUACAAAUGAGGAAACUGAAGCACAGAAAUGUCAAGUGGCUUUCCCAAGGUCAUACCGCAAGUAAGUCACAGAAUCAGUAUUUGGAUCUAGGAAGAGAGCCUUCAGAGUCCUUGUUUUAAUUAUUUGCUCUACCAAGAAGAAAAAGAAGAGAGAAAAAAAGAAAAUAAAGAAUACAGACAGGCAGGUUAAUGAGAGAAAAAGAUAAAUAAUGAAGAACAAAAAGCAAGGAGCAAUAUUCUGAAGAGUUACAGACAUGAUGGAAUAAACAGCAAGUUGUCAAAAGGAGCUGCAAAUGCCCAUGUAUGCCCUUUCAGGAGCGCUAGACUAUCUGCAUGAGACAGAGAGUAAAUCCUGAUGCCAUCACUCAAACUAGACCUACAAGUGCCUCGAGUUCUUACAGAUCCCCAUCUUUCUGGGCAAAACAUCCAUCCUUCAAAUCAUUCCACAGGUUAAAGAACAAAUGUCAGGUUACACUCUUGAAUAGUACAGUCCUAUUUUCUCCCAUAAAUGCCUGCAUAGGACGUCUUCUUCAUAUG
rnacentral:lncRNA from 1 species